GCUGGGCGUGGUGGCGUGCGCCUGUAACCGAGCUACUACGGAGCGGGUAGUGUCGAAUGACUUGAGGUCGGGACUCCUGUCGUACGUCGAUCUAUGUCGAUCGGGUGUCCACACUAAGUUGGGCGCCAAUAUGGUGAACUUAGGGGAACCUUCGUUCACCAGGUUGAAUAAAGAGGAACGUACCGGUCCAGGAUGGAAACAUAGCAGACAAAAGUUCCCGCGUCAAACAGUAGUGGGAUAGCACUUGUGAAUAGGAGGCGUGCGACAGCCCGGUCAAGAUAGUUGAACCCGCUACCCU